CCCUUAGAUGUUCUGGGCCGCACGCGUGCUACACUGAGUGGAUCAGCGGGUCAGGUUGCGCGAAAGUGUUUCCUAAUCUUGAAAUCCGCUCGUGAUGGGGAUUGACGGUUGCAAUUUUCCGUCAUGAACGAGGAAUACCUUGUAAGCGCGGGUCAUCAUCCCGCGCUGAAUACGUCCCGGCCCUUUGUACACACCGCCCGUCGCUCCUACCGAUUGAGUGGUCCGGUGAGGCUUUGGGAUCUGAGCGGAAAGAGCGUUUCGCUGUUUCUGCUCGGAAAACUCAGUCGAACCUUAUCAUUUAGAGGAAGGAGAAGUCGUAACA
rnacentral:rRNA from 1 species